UACGGGGGGGGCAAGCGUUGUUCGGAAUUACUGGGCGUAAAGGGCGCGUAGGCGGUCCGCUAAGUUGGAUGUGAAAACUCUGGGCUCAACCCAGAGCCUGCAUUCAAAACUGACGGGCUAGAGUUCUGGAGGGGGUAGCGGAAUUCCUGGUGUAGCGGUGAAAUGCGUAGAUAUCAGGAGGAACACCGGUGGCGAGGGCGGCUACCUGGACAGAAACUGACGCUGAGGCGCGAAAGCUAGGGGAGCAAACAGG
rnacentral:rRNA from 1 species